AUUGAACGCUGGCGGCAGGCCUAACACAUGCAAGUCGAACGAGUGGCGGACGGGUGAAUAAUGGCUGGGAAACUGCCUGAUGUAGGGGGCUAACUACUGGAACCGGUAGCUAAUACUGCAUACCACGCUAUCUGCCCAGAUGGGAUUAGCUAGUCGGGGGGGUAAAGGCUGACCAAGGCGACGAUCCCUAGCUGAGCUGAGAGGGUGACCGGCCACACUGGAACUGAGACACGGCCCAGACUCCUACGGGAGGCAGCAGUGGGGAAUCUUGCGCAAUGGGCGCAAGUCUGAUGCAGCCAUGCCGCGUGAAUGAAGAAGGUCUUCGGAUCGUAAAGCACUUUCAGCAGAGAGGCGUUACCUAAACAGGAAGCAACGGCUAACUACGUGCCAGCAGCCGCGGUAAUAC
rnacentral:rRNA from 1 species